rnacentral:rRNA from 1 species
UACGAAGGGGGCUAGCGUUGCUCGGAAUCAUGCUGGGCGUAAAGGGUGCGUAGGCGGUCUUUAAGUCAAGGGGUGAAAUCCUGGACUCAACUCCCGAACUAGCCUUUGAUACUGAGGAUCUUGAGUUCGGGAGAGGUGAGUGGAACUGCGAGUGUAGAGGUGAAAAUUCGUAGAUAUUCGCAAGAACACCAGUGGCGAAGGCGGCUCACUGGCCCGAUACUGACGCUGAGGCACGAAAGCGUGGGGAGCGAACAGG